rnacentral:rRNA from 1 species
UACGUAGGGCGCAAGCGUUGUCCGGAAUUAUUGGGCGUAAAGAGCUCGUAGGCGGUUUGUUACGUCCGCUGUGAAAACCCAGGGCUUAACCCUGGGCUUGCAGUGGAUACGGGCAGACUAGAGGUAGGUAGGGGGAGAAUGGAAUUCCCGGUGUAGCGGUGAAAUGCGCAGAUAUCGGGAGGAACACCGGUGGCGAAGGCGGUUCUCUGGGCCUUACCUGACGCUGAGGAGCGAAAGCGUGGGGAGCGAACAGG